rnacentral:lncRNA from 10 species
UGGCUAUUUUUUUGUAUUUUUAGUAGAGAUGGGGUUUCACCGUGUUACCCAGGAUGGUCUCCAUCUCCUGACCUCAUGAUCCACCCGCCUUGGCCUCCCAAAGUGCUGGGAUUACAGGCGUGAGCCACCACAUCUGGCCUUCAGUAUGUAGCUUUAAUUUACAUUUGCCACAUCCUUGUAACUUAAUGAUUUUUUGUUUUUUGCUUUGGUUUCUCAAUAAUGCUUGUGAAAAUUAAAUUCUGUAGUCCACAUUAUAAAUUAAUGGGAAUGCCUCUAUUUGACACAUGAAACAGUUACUGCCUGCUGCUAUGGUUUCCACUACAGAUGCAAGAAAAGAGUAUCUUCUUGCUUUCAUGGGACUGCUGCUGCCAUGAUUGAAUGAGGAAUACAGGAGGAAUAUAGGAAUACAGGGAAAAACAGAGAGAGAUCUUUUGCAACUCAGAAAUAACCUUGAAAACAGUGAAAAGCCUGAACCCAUUUUACUCCAAAGAAGGAUUUAAAAUUUAAGUUUACAUGAGAAUUGUUCGAAAAUUUUUUCCCAUAUACCCUAAACUUCUGGUUGACUUCACUUUUAAAAGCUUAAAAGUUAAAACUAAAAAAAAAAAGAAAAAAGAAAAAAAGGGACUAGUGGGAAUUAUGGCACAUGUAUAAAUCCAACAAUUAACCAACAUUUGGGAAUACCUACAAGGCAAACCUUUGCUUUACUAUAUUUUCAACACAAUUAAAAUGUUUUAGGUGAUAAUCUACCUCUUUAGUCAGUUUUACCAAAGCCCAAUUCCUAACAGUAGGAAUGAGGAAAGGAGAAAAGGAGGUGAAGAGGUAACAAUAUUCUGCCACAUGUAUGGCGAAAAGCCAUCUAAGACACACUUUCUCAGUCCCGGUCUGAAUAGGAGAGUGAAGUUCUCAGCCUUAGUAAUUGCCACCCCAUCUGAUUAAACCACACCCUCCUUAAGUCACUCCAGGAAAUCAAGCAUGGACAGAACUUUCAGGCCCCGAUAGUCUGCUUAAAGCUGAAAGUUUACCUAAAUAAUGUUUUAUGGGGGAAAAAAAGAAAAAUGCACACAUAUAUGGACUACCCAGACAAGUAGUUCCUCUGACAUUAUAUUUGGAGACAGAGAGGUAAGGAUUUCAGAAAAUGUUCUCCUUUUGCUGAGCUACAUUCAAGUUGUGGCUACAGAAUCAACAAUUAGACAGCCAACCCCUAAGAAUAUGUGCCAAUAACUCUCUCUUGCCAGCUUCUGUCUUGGGUCCCAAACCCACUCUAUGCCACCCUGACCCUCACUCCAUAUCCCUCACAUCCACUAGCAUCUCUCAGUGAAUUGGCUGGUUUAGAUGUGGGCCCUUACUCCAUCCCUGGCACUGGAACUAACCCUUUAUCAGUGGGUACAUGUAGCCUCUCCCUUGUUGCGAUUUUCUAACCAGAAACUAGUUAUCCCACUUCUGACUCCCACUGCUGAUGCCUGACCACAUCCCUCCCACAAGCACACACAGCCAGGAAGGCAGCCAGGUAAUCUCUGCAGCCAAAUUGCCUGUUUGAAUACUGUUGUGUUAAACAUUAGCUGUGCAGCCUCUGUUUCACCCCUGUUCCUCAGUUUCCCUGCUUGAAAAAAAUGGGGCUGAUAAUAAUGGCACCUACCAUCAUUAUUAUGAAGAUUGGGUGAGUUAAUAGUGGUUGCUAUGCUUAAGACAAUGCCUUGUACAUACUGCUGUGUGUGUUGAUCAAAAUAAGAGCCCAUCCAACGCUGUCUUCUUGAGACAUGGCUGUUCAGUUUCUAAUCUGCAUUCCCAAAACCAGAAAAGGAAAACUGUCAAGGAUAAUGACAGGCUGAGGGGGGAAUUGAGCAAAAAGGAAACCUGGAAAGGACGAAUGAAAAGGCUACUACAUAGCUCAUCCCAGGGAAGAGUCAGCAUCAAACCUGAGCAAGGUCCCAUAAAGCCAGCAUCUAAAACCUCAACUCUACUUACAGCAAUGGAGACAAUGGAGAGGGAGGCAGAAGGCUCCAGUGAGAGAGAUAACAAGCUUCUGUCCAUUUAAGAAAAAGAAAUCAGACAGAAAUCUGGUUGUAGCUACCAAGAUGCUUCCUGGAGGAAGGUGGCUGACUUUUUAUCUGAUGUGUCACUUGGUGAAAUAAUUGCUGGCAAUAAUGGUGCAAUAGCAGCCUGCUCGGGGUACUACUUAUCCGUGUCUGUUCUAUCUUUCAACUUCAAAGUUCCCACUGCCUCACGGAGCACAUCAGAAUGACACCACUGUUGUUAACAGCAGUGGCCUAAUGCAACACACAGAAGUCAAGUGAUUUCUCUAGAUAGGCAAAAUUAAACACACACACACACACCACACACGACUCAUGGAGAAGUGAGGUUUGUGUGCAGAUCCUGA